AGAGUUUGAUCCUGGCUCAGAAUCAACGCUGGCGGCGCGCCUAACACAUGCAAGUCGAACGAGAAAGCAGGAGCAAUCUUGUGAGUAAAGUGGCGUACGGGUGAGUAACACGUGGAUCAUCUACCCUCUUGUGGGGGAUAACCCUGGGAAACCGGGGCUAAUACCGCAUAAGCUCGAGAGAGGAAAGCAGCAAUGCGCAGGAGGAGGAGUCCGCGGCCGAUUAGCUAGUUGGUAGGGUAAAAGCCUACCAAGGCAACGAUCGGUAGCCGGCCUGAGAGGGCACACGGCCACACUGGCACUGAAACACGGGCCAGACUCCUACGGGAGGCAGCAGUGGGGAAUCUUGCACAAUGGGGGCAACCCUGAUGCAGCGACGCCGCGUGAGCGAUGAAGCCCUUCGGGGUGUAAAGCUCUUUCGGCAGGGAAGAUUAUGACGGUACCUGCAGAAGCAGCUGCGGCUAACUACGUGCCAGCAGCCGCGGUA
rnacentral:rRNA from 1 species